rnacentral:rRNA from 1 species
CCAAUAGCGUAUAUUAAAGUUGUUGCAGUUAAAAAGCUCGUAGUUGAAUUUCGGGGUUAGUAGGUUGGUCAUGCCUCUGGUAUGUACUGGUCUCACUGAUUCCUCCUUCCUGAUGAACCUUAAUGCCAUUAAUUUGGUGUUUUGGGGAAUUUGGACUGUUACUUUGAAAAAAUUCGAGUGUUUAAAGCAAGCUAACGCUUGAAUACAUUAGCAUGGAAUAAUGAAAUAGGACGUUCGAUCCUAUUUUGUUGGUUUCUAGGAUUGACGUAAUGAUUAAUAGGGAUAGUUGGGGGCAUUAGUAUUCAAUUGUCAGAGGUGAAAUUCUUGGAUUUAUUGAAGACUAACUACUGCGAAAGCAUUUGCCAAGGAUGUUUUCAUUAAUCAAGAACGAAAGUUAGGGGAUCGAAGACGAUCAGAUACCGUCGUAGUCUUAACCAUAAACUAUGCCGACUAGGGAUCGGAUGAUGUUAAUUUUUUAAUGACUCAUUCGGCGCCUUACG